AGCCCGCUCAGAACUCAAGGAAUUGACGGGGGCCCGCACAAGCGGAGGAGCAUGUGGUUUAAUUCGAUGAUACGCGAGGAACCUUACCUGGGCUCGAACGUAAGAUGACUGUAGGUGAAAGCUUACAUCUCUUCGGAGCAUUUUACGAGGUGCUGCAUGGUUGUCGUCAGCUCGUGCCGUGAGGUGUCGGGUUAAGUCCCAUAACGAGCGCAACCCCUACCUUUAGUUGCCAUCAGGUUAAGCUGGGGACUCUAAAGGAACUGCCUACGCAAGUAGUGAGGAAGGCGGGGAUGACGUCAAAUCAGCACGGCCCUUACGUCCAGGGCUACACACGUGCUACAAUGGCCGAUACAGAGGGCAGCUACCUGGUGACAGGAUGCAAAUCUCCAAAGUCGGUCUCAGUUCGGAUCGGAGUCUGCAACCCGACUCCGUGAAGUUGGAUUCGCUAGUAAUCGUGGAUCAGCAUGCCACGGUGAAUACGUUCCCGGGCCUU
rnacentral:rRNA from 1 species